rnacentral:rRNA from 1 species
AUUGAACGCUGGCGGCAUGCCUUACACAUGCAAGUCGAACGGUAACAGGUCUUCGGAUGCUGACGAGUGGCGAACGGGUGAGUAAUACAUCGGAACGUGCCUAGUAGUGGGGGAUAACUACUCGAAAGAGUGGCUAAUACCGCAUGAGAUCUACGGAUGAAAGCAGGGGAUCGCAAGAACUUGUGCUACUCGAGCGGCCGAUGGCCGAUUAGGUAGUUGGUGGGAUAAAAGCUUACCAAGCCGACGAUCUGUAGCUGGUCUGAGAGGACGAUCAGCCACACUGGGACUGAGACACGGCCCAGACUCCUACGGGAGGCAGCAGUGGGGAAUUUUGGACAAUGGGCGAAAGCCUGAUCCAGCAAUGCCGCGUGCAGGAUGAAGGCCUUCGGGUUGUAAACUGCUUUUGUACGGAACGAAAAGCCCCGGGUUAAUACCCUGGGGUCAUGACGGUACCGUAAGAAUAAGCACCGGCUAACUACGUGCCAGCAGCCGCGGUAA